rnacentral:rRNA from 1 species
GUGCCAGCCGCCGCGGUAAUACAGAGGGUGCAAGCGUUGUUCGGAAUUAUUGGGCGUAAAGGGAGUGUAGGCGGUUGGGAAAGUCUUCUGUGAAAUCUACGGGCUCAGCCUGUAACGUGCAGAGGAAACUACUCGGCUUGAGUGUCGGAGAGGAUAGGGGAAUACCCGGUGUAGAGGUGAAAUUCGUAGAGAUCGGGUGGAACACCAGUGGCGAAGGCGCCUGUCUGGCUGACAACUGACGCUGAGACUCGAAAGCAUGGGGAGCAAACAGGAUUAGAAACCCGCGUAGUCC